rfam:Erinaceus europaeus unplaced genomic scaffold scaffold00816, whole genome shotgun sequence
GGAUGUGAGGGCGAUCUGGCUGUGACAUCUGUCACCCCAUUUAUCGCCAGGGUUGAUUCGGCUGAUCUGGCUGGCUAGGUGGGUGUCCCCUUCCUCCUUCAUCUCUCCAUGCAUGUCCCUGCCAAAGCUGUGAGCUCUGUCGAAGAGGACGGCCUUCCCCGAAUAGAGACUGACUGGUUUUUGGUCGAGGGUAUAAGAGUAACUGCGCUCCCCUGCUAGAACCUCCAAACAAGCUCUCAAGAUCCUAGGAGAACUAUGGUGGUAAUCUCUGAGGU